AGAAUCAACGCUGGCGGCGUGCCUAACACAUGCAAGUCGAACGAGAAAGUGGUAGCAAUACCAUGAGUAAAGUGGCGCACGGGUGAGUAACACGUGACUAACCUACCCUUGAGUGGGGGAUAACUGAGGGAAACCUUAGCUAAUACCGCAUAAUACCCACGGGUCAAAGGAGCAAUUCGCUCGAGGAGGGGGUCGCGGCCGAUUAGUUAGUUGGCAGGGUAAUGGCCUACCAAGACGAUGAUCGGUA
rnacentral:rRNA from 1 species